rnacentral:rRNA from 1 species
CGAUUAACGAAGUUUACAACUCCUAACGCUUCAUCAUUCACGCGGCCUUGCGGCUUCAUGCUUUCCGCCAUUGUGCUGGAUCCCCACUGCUGCCUCCCGUAAGAUUCCCCACUGCUGCCUCCCGUAAG